UGUUUAAGCAUUUUUACCGUGAACUGCGAAUGGCUCAUUUAAAUUCAGUUAUCGUUUAUUUGAUAAUACCUUACUACUUGGAUAACCGUGGUAAUUCUAGAGCUAAUACAUGCUGAAAAUCCCGACUUCGGAAGGGAUGUGUUUAUUAGAUAAAAAACCAAUGCCCUUCGGGGCUCUUUGGUGAUUCAUGAUAACUUUACGGAUCGCAUAGCCUUGCGCUGGCGACGGUUCAUUCAAAUUUCUGCCCUAUCAACUUUCGAUGGUAAGGUAUUGGCUUACCAUGGUUUCAACGGGUAACGGGGAAUUAGGGUUCGAUUCCGGAGAGGGAGCCUGAGAAACGGCUACCACAUCCAAGGAAGGCAGCAGGCGCGCAAAUUACCCAAUCCCGACACGGGGAGGUAGUGACAAUAAAUACUGAUACAGGGCUCUUUUGGGUCUUGUAAUUGGAAUGAGUACAAUUUAAACCUCUUAACGAGGAACAAUUGGAGGGCAAGUCUGGUGCCAGCAGCCGCGGUAAUUCCAGCUCCAAUAGCGUAUAUUAAAGUUGUUGCAGUUAAAAAGCUCGUAGUUGAAACUUGGGCCUGGCUGGCGGGUCCGCCUCACCGCGUGCACUCGUCCGGCCGGGCCUUCCUUCUGAAGAACCUCAUGCCCUUCACUGGGCGUGUUGGGGAAUCAGGACUUUUACUUUGAAAAAAUUAGAGUGUUCAAAGCAGGCCUUUGCUCGAAUACGUUAGCAUGGAAUAAUAAAAUAGGGCGUGCGUUUCUAUUUUGUUGGUUUCUAGAGACGCCGCAAUGAUUAACAGGAACAGUCGGGGGCAUCAGUAUUCAGUUGUCAGAGGUGAAAUUCUUGGAUUUACUGAAGACUAACUA
rnacentral:rRNA from 1 species